CCUACGGGAGGCAGCAGUGGGGAAUAUUGGACAAUGGGCGAAAGCCUGAUCCAGCCAUGCCGCGUGUGUGAAGAAGGUCUUCGGAUUGUAAAGCACUUUAAGUUGGGAGGAAGGGCAGUAACCUAAUACGUUGCUAUUUUGACGUUACCGACAGAAUAAGCACCGGCUACCUCCGUGCCAGCAGCCGCGGUAAU
rnacentral:rRNA from 1 species